rnacentral:rRNA from 1 species
UCUGUUUGAUCCUGGCGGAGGCCACUGCUAUCGGAGUUCGAUUAAGCCAUGCGAGUCGAGAGGUGCAAGACCUCGGCAUACUGCUCAGUAACACGUGGAUAACCUACCCUCAGGUGGGGGAUAACCCCGGAAAACUGGGGAUAAUACCCCAUAGAUCAGGGACGCUGGAAUGCCUCCUGGUCGAAAGGUGCGCCGCCUGAGGAUGGGUCUGCGGCCGAUUAGGUUGUUGUUGGGGUAACGGCCCAACAAGCCGGUAAUCGGUACGGGUUGUGGGAGCAAGAGCCCGGAGAUGGAUUCUGAGACACGAAUCCAGGCCCUACGGGGCGCAGCAGGCGCGAAAACUUUACAAUGCGGGAAACCGUGAUAAGGGAACUCCGAGUGCCCGUAAAAUCGGGCUGUCCAUCAGUGUAAAAAACUGGUGAAGAAAGGGCCGGGCAAGACCGGUGCCAGCCGCCGCGGUAAUACCGGCGGCUCGAGUGGUGGCCACUAUUACUGGGCUUAAAGCGUCCGUAGCAGGGUUGUUAAGUCUCUUGGGAAAUCUACCGGCUCAACCGAUAGGCGUUCAGGGGAUACUGGCAACCUAGGGACCGGAAGAGGUGAGAGGUACUCCAGGGGUAGGAGUGAAAUCCUGUAAUCCUUGGGGGACCACCUGUGGCGAAGGCGUCUCACCAGGACGGCUCCGACUGUGAGGGACGAAAGCUGGGGGAGCAAACCGGAUUAGAUACCCGGGUAGUCCCAGCUGUAAACGAUGCGCGUUAGGUGUAUCGGUGACCACGAGUCACCGAGGUGCCGAAGAGAAAUCGUGAAACGUGCCGCCUGGGAAGUACGGUCGCAAGGCUGAAACUUAAAGGAAUUGGCGGGGGAGCACCACAACGGGUGGAGCCUGCGGUUUAAUCGGACUCAACGCCGGGAAGCUCACCGGAUAAGACAGCGGAAUGAUAGCCGGGUUGAAGACUCUGCUUGACUAGCUGAGAGGAGGUGCAUGGCCGUCGUCAGUUCGUACUGUGAAGCAUCCUGUUAAGUCAGGCAACGAGCGAGACCCA